UACGUAGGGUGCGAGCGUUAAUCGGAAUUACUGGGCGUAAAGCGUGCGCAGGCGGUUCGUUAAGUCAGAUGUGAAAGCCCCGGGCUCAACCUGGGAACUGCAUUUGAAACUGGCGGGCUUGAGUGUGGCAGAGGGGGGUGGAAUUCCGCGUGUAGCAGUGAAAUGCGUAGAUAUGUGGAGGAAUACCGAUGGCGAAGGCAGCCCCCUGGGAUAACACUGACGCUCAUGCACGAAAGCGUGGGGAGCAAACAGG
rnacentral:rRNA from 1 species